GAUGAACGCUGGCGGCGUGCCUAACACAUGCAAGUCGAGCGAAGCACUUUGCUCUGAUUUCUUCGGAUUGAAGAGUGAUUUGACUGAGCGGCGGACGGGUGAGUAACGCGUGGGUAAUCUGCCUCACACAGGGGGAUAACAGUUAGAAAUGACUGCUAAUACCGCAUAAGGCCACAGCACCGCAUGGUGCAGGGGUAAAAACUCCGGUAGUGUGAGAUGAGCCCGCGUCUGAUUAGCCAGUUGGCGGGGUAACGGCCCACCAAAGCAACGAUCAGUAGCCGGCCUGAGAGGGUGAACGGCCACAUUGGGACUGAGACACGGCCCCAAACUCCUACGGGAGGCAGCAGUGGGGAAUAUUGCACAAUGGGGGAAACCCUGAUGCAGCGACGCCGCGUGAGCGAAGAAGUAUCUCGGUAUGUAAAGCUCUAUCAGCAGGGAAGAAAAUGACGGUACCUGACUAAGAAGCACCGGCUAAAUACGUGCCAGCAGCCGCGGUAAUACGUAUGGUGCAAGCGUUAUCCGGAUUUACUGGGUGUAAAGGGAGCGUAGACGGAUGUGCAAGUCUGGAGUGAAAACCCGGGGCUCAACCCCGGGACUGCUUUGGAAACUGUAUAUCUUGAGUGCUGGAGAGGUAAGUGGAAUUCCUAGUGUAGCGGUGAAAUGCGUAGAUAUUAGGAGGAACACCAGUGGCGAAGGCGGCUUACUGGACAGUAACUGACGUUGAGGCUCGAAAGCGUGGGGAGCAAACAGGAUUAGAUACCCUGGUAGUCCACGCCGUAAACGAUGACUGCUAGGUGUCGGGUAGCAAAGCUAUUCGGUGCCGCAGCUAACGCAAUAAGCAGUCCACCUGGGGAGUACGUUCGCAAGAAUGAAACUCAAAGGAAUUGACGGGGACCCGCACAAGCGGUGGAGCAUGUGGUUUAAUUCGAAGCAACGCGAAGAACCUUACCUGGUCUUGACAUCCUUCUGACCGGCGAGUAAUGUCGCCUUUCCUUCGGGACAGGAGAGACAGGUGGUGCAUGGUUGUCGUCAGCUCGUGUCGUGAGAUGUUGGGUUAAGUCCCGCAACGAGCGCAACCCUUAUCUUCAGUAGCCAGCGGUUUGGCCGGGCACUCUGGAGAGACUGCCAGGGAUAACCUGGAGGAAGGUGGGGAUGACGUCAAAUCAUCAUGCCCCUUAUGACCAGGGCUACACACGUGCUACAAUGGCGUAAACAAAGGGAAGCGAAACCGCGAGGUGGAGCAAAUCCCAAAAAUAACGUCUCAGUUCGGAUUGUAGUCCGCAACUCGACUACAUGAAGCUGGAAUCGCUAGUAAUCGCGAAUCAGAAUGUCGCGGUGAAUACGUUCCCGGGUCUUGUACACACCGCCCGUCACACCAUGGGAGUCAGCAACGCCCGAAGUCAGUGACCCAACCGUAAGGAGGGAGCUGCCGAAGGUGGGGCCGAUAACUGGGGUG
rnacentral:rRNA from 1 species